UCCGGCUUACACCGGCGGUCUCCUGUGAGUUCCCAUCUUUCAUGCUGGUAACACAGGACGAGGGUUGCGCUCGUUGGCGGACUUAACCGUACACCUCACGGCACGAGCUGACGACAGCCAUGCAACAUCUGUCUUCACGUCUCCUUGUGGGAGAGGGCCGACUUUCAUCGGCUUGCGAUCGAUGUCAAACCUGGGUAAGGUUCUUCGGUUAGUAUCGAAUUAAUCCACAUGCUCCACCGCUUGUGCGGGUCCCCGUCAAUUCAUUUGAGUUUCAACCUUGCGGCCGUACUCCCCAGGCGGGAUACUUAGUGCGUUAGCUGCGGCACAAGAGGGGUCGAUACCUCUUACGCCUAGUAUCCAUCGUUUAGGGCGUGGACUAC
rnacentral:misc_RNA from 1 species